rnacentral:rRNA from 1 species
UGGCAGACGGGUGAGUAACAUGUGGGUAUCUACCCUUUGGCCUGGAAUAACACGAGGAAACUUGUGCUAAUACCGGAUAAGUCUUUACGGAGAAAGCUUUAUGCACCAUUGGAUGAGCCCGCACUUGAUUAGUUCGUUGGUAGGGUAAUGGCCUACCAAGACUAUGAUCAAUAGCUGAUUUGAGAGGAUGAUCAGCCACAUUGGGACUGAGACACGGCCCAAACUCCUACGGGAGGCAGCAGUGGGGAAUCUUGCACAAUGGAGGAAACUCUGAUGCAGCGAUGCCGCGUGAGUGAAGAAGGCCUUUGGGUUGUAAAGCUCUUUCGUCGGGGAAGAAAAUGACUGUACCCGAAUAAGAAGGUCCGGCUAACUUCGUGCCAGCAGCCGCGGUAAUACGAAGGGACCUAGCGUAGUUCGGAAUUACUGGGCUUAAAGAGUUCGUAGGUGGUUGAAAAAGUUGGUGGUGAAAUCCCAGAGCUUAACUCUGGAACUGCCAUCAAAACUUUUCAGCUAGAGUAUGAUAGAGGAAAG